UAAAUUUCAAUUUUCCCUCCCCUCUCUAUGUAGCGCUCUUCCUAUCUGGACGGGAUCUCUUCACUUGAGUACAUGGUGGGUUUCUCUUUCCUGAGGGAUUAUAAGUUAUAAGUAUUGUAGGUUGUAGCUGAGGUUCGAGUUGGGUAAUGUGUUUCAAAGAAUUCCUACUGGAGGAUGUGGAAAACUCAAUUGGAGGCAAAACAUGUCUACCAUGGUAAAUCAGAGAAAGAGUUACUGAGAAAUGUGUCAAAGGAUUUUAAUUCAAAUCAAUGGGAUGCUCUUGUCAAUCAUUGGAACUCAACUUUGCUAAGGUUUGUGAAUAUAGUAUUUGCUGUUUGAAAUAUGUGGAUUGCUUGUCUGGAAUAUAUGUAUUGCAGUGCUUUAUUAUGAUUGAAUAAUUCUUUGAGGUGUGCCAAAUGUUUCAUGAUUUGGUGGGCAUGUAUUUCGGGAAGUACUCAUCUCCAAUAAGGAAAAAGAACAAAGCAGCAACAGAGAAUUUGAAAAUACAAAAUGAUUCAAUUGGGCAGUUAAUACUAAACGAUUGCUUAGAAACAAUUCAAUUAUGUUGUAAAUUUUGUAACUUUUCACAUAUGGAAAUGUCAAGUCUACAAACGGACACAAUCCCCCCCUGGAAAAAUUGGAAUCAUAUUUUAGGCCGACAAAAAGAGAGUGAGAACUUGCUAGCCGUCUUGACAAUUCGAUCUUCCCAAGAGCAUUCGUCUUCAAUCAACUAUACGAGUUAACUGGAGACCUAAUACAGGAAUCCGGGCUUUGGCUGAUAUUAUAGCCAAGAGGUCUAAAGCUGGAUGGGGGAAUAUGAUAGGAUAUAUUAUCCUCCUCUUCAACAUUGCUAGCCCCUGAUCACCCCUUAUAUUAUAUUUGAAGUGCUAAACAUAGAAGUGCUCGAAAAAAGCUCUCUCUAGAAGCUAUAUACACUGAAUUAACUGGCACACUUACUACAAAACUACUAGAGCCGAGGAGCUUGUGACGAUUACAGUGCUGAUGGAAUGUUUGUUUCAAUUGGAGACAAAAAAUCGAGCAUGGUUGUUGGAGCAUACUAAAUUGUAAGCAUGACAAAAAUGAAAGCUGUGUCACCAGCACAUUUUUUCUCUAUGGAUUCAUUAUAGGAAUUAUUUAUGUUCCUAAAAAAUUUAUUGUCAGCAUGAACUCCUCAUUUCAUUGCUAGUUAAUCUAUCUAUUCAUGGAGGUUCAAAUUAUAAAAAGCAACUCCCUUGCGCAAGGCUCCCGCAGUGGGUGGGAUCGGGGACAAGCAUGAUUACUUGUUCUUCUAAAAAUGCUUUUCAAGGAGUCAGGAUUGUCACUCAAAAUCCCAAAGAUAGCAUUCCUUGUUUCAGAAUUGCUUAUGUAAGCUCAGAAUCUGAUGCAUGACCAGAAGAUAUUCUUCUAAUUCUCGGGCUCAUCAUUCUUGGGCUCAUCGUUCUCGGGCUCAUCACCAUCAGCUGGCUUUCUGAAUUCAUUCUCAUACUACGAGAGGUCAUCAUUUGUGGAGGUCUUGGAGAUCUUCCCUUCGGGGUUCCUGCAAACACGAAGCAGCAAGAGGCUUGCUAUUAGUAUUAGAUAAGUAGGAAAAAAAUAUGUUUUUUUUUAUCUUUCCCCUUAAUUACUUUGCACCAUAAUUAUAAGUUCUAUACUGUUGGAUUUGUUUAGAUUUCCAUUUAGUUAUUGCUCUCUACUUGUUGCUCUUUCA